rnacentral:lncRNA from 1 species
GAACAGACAAAUAUGUGCUCUUGCUGGGCACAAGUUGAACAGUCAAAGAGGAGGAGGAGAGGAAUAUGCUCUGACUGAUUGAGUGGGUCAUUGGCCAGAGAGGUGGGGAAAGGAAAAAUGUGGCACUUGUGAUACCAUGCAUAUGAACCAACACAAACCUCCAGACCAAAGUUUGUGCCCAUCUGUAGCCAGGAGAAUGAAAUUUAAAUGCCUGCUCAACAGAAAAUUUGACUGAGUGACCUUGGGCCAUGCAUUAACUCAGCCAAACCUACCUUACAAGUUUGUAGGAAUAGAGGGAAUAUGAGAAAAUAAGGUAGCCAUCUAUUUUAUUAUUGCAGUACAAAUUAAUAUUGCUACAAUUAACGGUGGCAUGUCUUAUAGGAAUAGAGGGAAUAUGGGAAAAUAAGAAACCUUGCCCUCUUUUAGAUUUCAACUGCCAAUGGCUGCAACAGCAGCAGACGAUGUCUGAUGACAGCCAUUGUUCCUUCCCAUCUAGGAAAGAUGUUAGCCAUUUUGAGAAGUUUUUCUUCUCCCAAAGAUGAAGAAGAAGAAUAAAAGGGCAGCUCUUUUCAUCUUUACACCAGAUUCAAAUCCCUUCAAAGCUCCUUCUUUCAGUAUCAUGACAGUCAAAUUCUAACAAACAUUAUCAUCAUCAUCAUCAUCAAAUGGGAAUAUCAGCAUAUUGGUGUUUUGCCCACCACUGCCAUGUGGUGUGGAUUCCCCUCCAUUGAGGGUAAUGAAUCACAGAAAUAGGAAGAAAUGCCCCAGACCAGUACGUGGCCAGCAAGG